AGUGAACGCUGGCGGUAGGCCUAACACAUGCAAGUCGAACGGCAGCACAGUAAGCGCUUGCUCUUACGGGUGGCGAGUGGCGGAUGGGUGAGGAAUACAUCGGCAUCUACUUUUUCUUGGGGAACAACGUAGGGACACUUACGAUACUACCUCAUACGUUCUACGGGAGGAAUCAGUAGAUCUUCGCGCCUUUCGCGAUUGAAUGAGACGAUGUCGGAUUAGCUAGUUGGCGAGGUAAAGGCCUACCAAGGCGACGAUCCGUAGCUGGUCUGAGAGGAUGAUCGGCCACACUGGAACUGAGACACGGUCCAGACUCCUACGGGAGGCAGCAGUGGGGAAUAUUGGGCAAUGGGCGCAAGCCUGAUCCAGCCAUACCGCGUGAGUGAAGAAGGCCUUCGGGUUGUAAAGCCCUUUUGUUGGGAAAGAAAAGCAGUAGGUUAAUACCCCGCUGUUCUGACGGUACCUAAAGAAUAAGCACCGGCUAACUUCGUG
rnacentral:rRNA from 1 species